rnacentral:rRNA from 1 species
GUGCCAGCCGCCGCGGUAAUACGUAGGGUGCGAGCGUUAAUCGGAAUUACUGGGCGUAAAGCGUGCGCAGGCGGUUUUGUAAGACAGACGUGAAAUCCCCGGGCUUAACCUGGGAACUGCGUUUGUGACUGCAAGGCUAGAGUGUGGCAGAGGGGGGUAGAAUUCCACGUGUAGCAGUGAAAUGCGUAGAUAUGUGGAGGAAUACCGAUGGCGAAGGCAGCCCCCUGGGUCAACACUGACGCUCAUGCACGAAAGCGUGGGGAGCAAACAGGAUUAGAUACCCUCGUAGUCC